GACGAACGCUGGCGGCGUGCUUAACACAUGCAAGUCGAACGGAAAGGCCCCUUCGGGGGUACUCGAGUGGCGAACGGGUGAGUAACACGUGAGUAACCUGCCCUUGACUUCGGGAUAACUUCAGGAAACUGGGGCUAAUACCGGAUAGGAAUCCUUGCUGCAUGGUGGGGGUUGGAAAGCUUCGGCGGUUUUGGAUGGACUCGCGGCUUAUCAGCUUGUUGGUGGGGUAGUGGCUCACCAAGGCUUUGACGGGUAGCCGGCCUGAGAGGGCGACCGGCCACAUUGGGACUGAGAUACGGCCCAGACUCCGACGGGAGGCAGCAGUGGGGAAUAUUGCACAAUGGGCGGAAGCCUGAUGCAGCGACGCCGCGGGCGGGAUGACGGCCUUCGGGUUGUAAACCGCUUUCAGCAGGGGCGAAGCUUGUGGUGACGGUACCUGCAGAAGAAGCACCGGCUAACUACGUG
rnacentral:rRNA from 1 species